AGCGUGGCGCUCUCCUGUAACGUGGCUACUCACGGCCUCNGNGUUACGGACUGAUUUGAGGUUGGGGUCCACUGUUGUGCCGGGUAAAUCCAUGUUGACGGGACGUCCGCACUAAGCUGACCGUCAAUAUGGGUGCAAUGGGGGAGCCCGAUGCAUUCAGGUUGGCUAAAGAGAGAUGAACCGAGCGAGGGGUGAAAACCAGCANCUAAAAGUCUCCGCGGUAAGCAGUANUGGGAUCGCGUCCCGGAGUGNACUUCCGGUGCCNGCCUGACCAAUAUAGUCACACUGNANUCUUUUU
rnacentral:SRP_RNA from 1 species